UUUUUACUCCCUCCGUCUGAAAAUACUUGUCCGAGGAAUAGAUGUAUCUAGAUGUAUUUUAGUUCUAGAUACAUCCAUUUGUAUCCAUUUCUACGACGAGUAUUUCUGGACGAAGGGAGUACUUG
rfam:Triticum aestivum genome assembly, contig: Triticum_aestivum_CS42_TGACv1_scaffold_157940_2DL